CAGUUGGUAUCAGAGUCGUGUUCCUCGGACUCGUCCUUUACACAAUGAGAAACACCAAACCAAUAAAUUAUUACUCAACCCUUUCUUGUGAAAUGGAAGUACGGAGAGAUGAGAAGAGGAAGACCCCCCACUAAACUGAGCAGCCCGGGUUGGUUCGCUUCGGGAAGAUGUUGACAAGAUAUUUGAGACGCUGGAGAGACUCAUUGCUGCCCAGCAGGGCCGAGAGGAGAGAGGGGAGCUACCUGACCCUCCCCCGCUGCCACAGGUUGAGCCACCACUGCAGCGAGAGGAUCCCGAGCAACUCCGGUACGAGCCUGCUCCUCCACAGUACCACCCUGUGCCACCGCCGCAGUAUAAUCUGGUGCCCCAGCCACAGUACUACCUGGCAUCGCCACCGUAUAAUCCGGUGCCCCCACCAUAUCAGCAAGUACCACCACAGGGUCCCCUAGUCUAUCCUC
rnacentral:lncRNA from 1 species